ACAGCAGCCGCCACGGGAAUACGUAGGUGGCAAGCGUUGUCCGGAAUUAUUGGGCGUAAAGGGCUCGCAGGCGGUUUCUUAAGUCUGAUGUGAAAGCCCCCGGCUCAACCGGGGAGGGUCAUUGGAAACUGGGAAACUUGAGUGCAGAAGAGGAGAGUGGAAUUCCACGUGUAGCGGUGAAAUGCGUAGAGAUGUGGAGGAACACCAGUGGCGAAGGCGACUCUCUGGUCUGUAACUGACGCUGAGGAGCGAAAGCGUGGGGAGCGAACAGGAUUAGAUACCCCCGUAGUCCCUGUCUCUUAUAC
rnacentral:rRNA from 1 species